rnacentral:rRNA from 1 species
UAACACGUGGGUAACCUGCCCAUCAGAGGGGGAUNACAUUCGGAAACGGAUGCUAAAACCGCAUAGGUCUUCGAACCGCAUGGUUUGAAGAGGAAAAGAGGCGCAAGCUUCUGCUGAUGGAUGGACCCGCGGUGCAUUAGCUAGUUGGUGAGGUAACGGCUCACCAAGGCCGUGAUGCAUAGCCGACCUGAGAGGGUGAUCGGCCACAUUGGGACUGAGACACGGCCCAAACUCCUACGGGAGGCAGCAGUAGGGAAUCUUCCGCAAUGGACGCAAGUCUGACGGAGCAACGCCGCGUGAGUGAAGAAGGUUUUCGGAUCGUAAAACUCUGUUGUUAGAGAAGAACAAGUGCUAGAGUAACUGUUAGCGCCUUGACGGUAUCUAACCAGAAAGCCACGGCUAACUACGUGCCAGCAGCCGCGGUAAUACGUAGGUGGCAAGCGUUGUCCGGAUUUAUUGGGCGUAAAGCGAGCGCAGGCGGUUCCUUAAGUCUGAUGUGAAAGCCCCCGGCUCAACCGGGGAGGGUCAUUGGAAACUGGGGAACUUGAGUGCAGAAGAGGAGAGUGGAAUUCCAUGUGUAGCGGUGAAAUGCGUAGAUAUAUGGAGGAACACCAGUGGCGAAGGCGACUCUCUGGUCUGUAACUGACGCUGAGGCUCGAAAGCGUGGGUAGCAAACAGGAUUAGAUACCCUGGUAGUCCACGCCGUAAACGAUGAGUGCUAAGUGU